rnacentral:rRNA from 1 species
CCUACGGGAGGCAGCAGUGAGGAAUAUUGGUCAAUGGGCGCAAGCCUGAACCAGCCAAGUCGCGUGUGGGAAGACGGCCCUACGGGUUGUAAACCUCUUUUGCCGGGGCGCAAGCCUGAGCACGUGUGCACAGGCGGAGAGUACCCGGAGAAAGAGCAUGGGCUAACUCCGUCCCUGCAGCCGCGGUAAUAAGGAGGAUGCGAGCGUUAUCCGGAUUUAUUGGGUUUAAGGGGGGCGCGGGCGGGCGGUUGAGCAGGCGGUAAAAAUUAAGGGCUAAACCCAGUCGCGCCGACGGAACUGGCAGCCUUGAGUGGGCGAGAGGUAUGCGGAAUGCGAGGUGUAGCGGUGAAAUGCAUAGAUAUCACGCAGAACGCCGAUUGCGAAGGCAGCAUACCGGCGCCCGACUGACGCUGAGGCACGAAAGCGUGGGGAUCGAACAGGAUUAGAUACCCUUGUAGUC